UACGAAGGUGGCAAGCGUUGUUCGGAUUUACUGGGCGUACAGGGCGCGUAGGCGGAACGGCAAGUCAGAGGUGAAAGCCCUGGGCUCAACCCGGGAAUUGCCUUUGGGACUGCCGUUCUAGAGUUCGGAAGAGGAUGGCGGAAUACCCAGUGUAGAGGUGAGAUUCGUAGAUAUUGGGUAGAACACCGGUGGCGAAGGCGGCCAUCUGGUCCGACACUGACGAUGAGGCGCGAAAGCGUGGGGAGCAAACAGG
rnacentral:rRNA from 1 species